AAGCCCUUUCCUCCGUCCCGGAACAUAUAAGCUACCACAUGGCUUGAUACGUGGGGAGUUCAUAUUUGAACCUACCGCUGAGAUCAUUCUGUCCUUUUCACUCUCUUUGUCUAUACGUGUGUGUUUAUGUGCGUGCUUUGGGCUAAUUAGGGCAUCUCCAGUCCUACAUAUAAUGUACAAGUUGCAUAUGUCACAGGCUUGGCUCUCCCAUUUUCAGGUUUUAUUGCCAAGUUUGCUUAAUUGUUUGUUGCUUUUGCAGUUUGAUGCGGUUGGAUUGAGGUUUGGAUAUACCUUAAAAAAGAGAGCUUUCUUCAGUCCACUCAUGGGUGGCAGUAGGAUUCAAUUAGCUGCCGACUCAUUCAUCCAAAUGCUGAGUAAGAUUGGUACUCAGUAACUGAGUGAAUGAUGCGGGAGAAAAAUUGAUUCUUAAGCUUCCUGUACUUGGACUGAAGGGAGCUCCCUUUACUUUUAUCAUCUAUAUUAACCUGAGAUUCGGCCUUUUCAGUCUUCAUCAUCUAUAGUCUUGCAGGUAGAUAUGUUUUGCUUAUUCUGCACCUCAACAUACAGCAGGCAAAAGUAGAAGAUAAGUGUAGAUUACUAAUAGAGUACUAUAUUCUGCAUAUGAUGAUGUUUGACUCAUCAUGAGCUUGAGGGCUUGGUUUGUUUAAAGAAACGGAUUAUACAUCUUGACUAGAUUCUGUGACCAUGAUGUUUGUCUUUCUAACAUUAUUAUAUGGAGAAUUUAGUUGUUUAGGGAAGAGCUUCACCACUAAUCAACCAACCCAUUUUCGCAUGUCGAUUGUCUUUUUCUUUCAUUUGUAUGCUAGGCAUAUGUUGAAUGUUAAUUCAACUAUAACCCCAAUGGAUGUGAAACAAUGGAUUUAGGGUUUCGUCAAAGUGACUUUCUUGUCAUGCUGUAAACGCUCUACGACAAUGCGUUUCUUGGUUAUUGCCCACUUAUUGCAUCAAGUUCCCAGAUAUGUCUCUCAGAAGCUGAUGCAAUUACCAAAAUAUCCUCGUCAUCCAUCCAAAGUUCCAACUCUGCAAGUUCUCAAGAAGAUCGACCAAUGAGCCAAGGGAAUCAUUACAUCCAAAAAUUGGCAGAAUGUUUCAAAGGACGUACUUUCUUGGACCCAUGAAGAGAAAUCAUCCAGAGCUCCUGAACAGGAGGAUGCUCCCAGCCUCAAGGCUAUAAACAUAGUGAUAUUGUGGAAGGCGCAGUCAGUUAAUUUACCACUAAUCUGUGUCUUGACUAGGGGUUAACUGGUCUAAAUUUGCAUAGCUUUCCAGUAGAUCUUGAUCCUUUAUAACAUUAGACCAGCUCUCGUGUACUUGACUUUGUGUAUUAAUUUAAUAUCCAUUGUAUAACUAGGGCCAAUUCCUGAAGUUUGUACUUUUUU